rnacentral:lncRNA from 1 species
UCCUCCUUCUACACUUGCUCUAACCCAAAAUCGAUGCCCCUUUUACCUCUUCUUGAAGAUGAAGAUUUCUACCAAGAGAAUCCCAAAAAACUCUCACUCUCUUCUUCUUCUUCUUCUUCAUCAUCAUCAUCAGAGGAAAAAAAACACCAAGAUCAAGUUAUGGUGACAGCACAUCAAACAGAACCCAUGUCCUAUGUUGAUCACAUGAGGGUUAGAUUUGGGAGCUUCAAGUCUAGGAGUCUCUCGGAUCUGAAAGAACAUGCUGAGGAUGAGGAAGAAGAAGAUGAAGAUGAUGAUGAUGAUGAUUAGUGGUUUUUGGAUUAGGAUUAAUAAUAUGUUUUCUGUGUAAAUAUAGUUAUAAUUUAGCUUAAUGAUUUUGGUAUUAACAAAAUAUGUUUUGGCCCUCGUAUACAUAAUAAUCUAUUUCAACUU